GUUCAUAACAACAUUAACAGCAUUUUUAAAGCUGCAAGUGUGAUUAAAUUAAAUAAUGUGAAAUACAUAUAAUAUAUUGUUUUCAAAUGUGUCAUAACUGGACUAAUCUCCAUAUACUAACUCUUAAAGCUCGCAACAAAAUUUGUUGCUCCAACACCUUAGCUUUACUCAUUUCUAAACUUCAACGUAAUUUUUUUGGCAAAGUAAAAUAUGGUGCAAAUAGACUACAGCAAAGUUUUGUAGUGCAAACAUCUAUUAUUGUAAAACCACCAAGCAAGGGAGAAACAUUUUCUUCUACAGCCAGAUCGUUAUUGUUAUGAACAUAAUAUUUUCAAUUAUUGUUAAUUUAAUGUUACAUUUUGGAAAUUAUAUUAGAUAGUUAAUCUAUACAUACAAAUAUAUGUUUACACACACACACACACACACACACACAUAUGGUAUUAAUACAUUCUUUGAAAGUUAUUUGCACUAGAGAAGAUUAAUUUAAAACUUUUGUGACAUUCGCCAUUGCUGGUUUCAACUGUGAUAUUAAGGUUGUCUCUAUUGAAUACAGUGUGAACCAGCAUGUUUUACAUGUGUAUAAUGUACAUAUUAUGUGUAGUAAUGAUACACAUUAAGGUAAUCACACAGGUACUCAUGGCUCAUGCUCGGACGAGGAAUCUGGUGGAAAGGAUGUUCAGUGUUUGGAAGCAGCGCUUUCCCUGCUUGCAGCUUGUUUUAUGAAACAAGCUGCAGACAACAGCAGCUAUCAUUGUUGCCUGUGCCAUUUGUCACAACAUUGGUAUCAGGCACAAUGAUUAUGUGGAAGAAGCUGAGCUGCAGGUGAGAAGUGUUUUGUUAUAUAUUAUUAAUUAGUAUUGGCGACACCUGGGAUUUCUUCCCUGUAACUUAGUGUAUUAUUUGCAAAUGAAGUGCAUAGUACAAAUACUUGUUCAGUUUGUGAAUUGCAAUGAUGUUUAUUACAUAUUACUUCCUCUUUGAAAAUACAAAUGCUUUUGUACCUAUAAUAUGAUAUAUAAACAGCUAUAAAAUAGGAACCUUAUACAAAUAUUUAAACAGGCAAUGGCAAUAAACAUUGAAGCAAACUAGAUAUCUUGGCAGCCAAGGUCAACUGGCAAAAUCCACCUGAAGAAAUCUGCAAAUUAGGGGCUCGACUGGUGCUACAUUACAGAAAGUGGCAAACCAUAGCAUGCCAGAUGAAAAGCUUUUUGCUGUAUUUUUCUGAUGGUGUCUUCUGUUGUUUAUACACAACUUGCGUGUGUAUAUGUGUGUGAGAGUGCGUGCGUGCGAGUGCGUGUGUGUAAAACAAACAUGUUUUAUAAUUGAUACAAAGCUAAGGUAGAGACCAUUUACACUAUAGUAAUGAUAAUGUACCUAUAAACAAUUAUUGCCUGCAUUGUAAUAUAUUGAUUGGUUUGUUACAGGCCAACAAUGAUGUGCCAAUCCCACCAGUUCCUCUCCGACCUGGGCGCGCCUGGCCAUCAGGAACGAGUUCAUCAUCCGGCAUUUCAAUCCUGUUGCUGCCGCCAGUCAUGGCUCCACUCAGUGCUCGGUGCUGCGAGUUCCAGCCCCUCGUGUGCCAGCUGUGUGCAGAUCAGUUAGUGGGCUGGCAGGGAUUCUGUUGUCUCUACAUCCUCGACGGGCAUGACCAGGAACAUUCAAACAUUCAGGAAUUACAGUUUUCCUUUACAUCAUAUUGAAGAUAAUUUAUUAUUUAAUGAUUUUGCAUGUUAUUUAGACACACAUUUCAGGGAAAUUGUGGGCAAACUUUGCCUAGGCUUGUAGUAAGCAGUCAUGUGGUUUACCACUGAACUACCCUUGUUUGUUUCAAUAAAAUAACAAUAUUCUUCUACAAUGUUUUUAUUUUUGACAAGAAGGGUAAAGAUAUGAAAAUACAAAAGUACAGCUACAAAUCUUUUAAAUGCAAUGCCAAAAGCAAAGAUUUUACAUUUUAACAUUUUCCUUGUUACAGUUGUUUUAAUUGUUUUAUAAUCGUGCAUUAAUACAUAACAAGAUAAUAUCAAGAAAUAUUGUUAUGGAACCUAUUGACUAUAACUUUUUGAUGUAUACAUAUAAUUGAUUGUGUAGUGUAUGUUAUUUCUUGUGGCAACUAUUUGUAAGUUGUUAAUUUUAUUCACUAUCUUAGUAUUUCAAUACUAUUAACACAAAUCACAACAUAGUACACAGUGUUAAAAGCCCUUCAUAAUUCUUGUACAUUUCUGUCUGAUGUUUCUCUGGAGACCUUUAGCCAUAUCUGUUUGAGAUCUGAUAUUGACUGCUACUAUAUAUGUAUUUCAUGUAUUUAUAAUAUGGUUCCAAAAUACAAAAUACUUUAUGGUCACCUU